rnacentral:rRNA from 1 species
GGAGUUAGCCGGUGCUUCUUCUGUGAGUGAUGUCCUUCCUGCCGGCUAUUAACCCGCAGGCCUUCUUCCUCACUGAAAGUGCUUUACAACCCGAAGGCCUUCUUCACACACGCGGCAUGGCUGGAUCAGGGUUGCCCCCAUUGUCCAAUAUUCCCCACUGCUGCCUCCCGUAGGAGUCUGGGCCGUGUCUCAGUCCCAGUGUGGCUGAUCAUCCUCUCAGACCAGCUACGGAUCGUCGCCUUGGUGAGCCGUUACCUCACCAACCAGCUAAUCCGACAUAGGCUCAUCCGAUAGCGCGAGGCCCGAAGGUCCCCCGCUUUCCCCCGUAGGGCGUAUGCGGUAUUAGCCUGGGUUUCCCCAGGUUAUCCCCCACUACCGGGCAGAUUCCUAUGCAUUACUCACCCGUCCGCCGCUCGCCACCAGGGAGCAAGCUCCCCGUGCUGCCGCUCGACUUGCAUGUGUUAGGCUCGCCGCCACGCGUUCAAUACUAAGACCAGGAUACAAACUACUGA